CGAAAACGUCAAGAUUCCGUCAAAAGUUGACGUUAUCAAAAAAAGUGUUUUAAAUACAAAAAUUUGAUAAAAGGACUACACGGCAACGAAAGCAGCCGAUUUGAGGGAAAUCCAAAAGCUGAUAAAACCACCUUCAACUCCUCCAGAACAUGUUCAAGUUCGAAGUCAAGGGAAUCAACUAGAGUGGGAAACCUUUAAAGAGAUGAGAUUUUUUGAUGAGAUUCUUUGUCUUUUGGAUGCUACCAACGAAUUAAUUCGAGCUUUUUCCAACAUGGAACGACCCGUGGAACUAUGGGAUGAUUGGUUUGUACAUCUUCUAGUGCAUAAGCUUGAUCCAUGCACUAGACAAAAAUGAGAAACUUCUUUAAGGGAAGAGAUCGAAUGCGAGAAUAUUUUUCAAGAUACUCAUUAUCGAAACGAGAAAGGUCAAUACGUAGUUCAACUACCCAAACUCCAAUCACCUGAUCUAUUAGGUCGAUCUAAGGAACCAGUGGCUUCAAUGUUCAAAAGAAACGAAGCUCAACUUUCAAAAGACCCAGUUGCCAAAGCUAAGUACAAUACAUUUAUGCAAGAGUAUCUUUCAUUGAAUCAUGUGGAGCCUGCAUCUUCAAAAGAUCAAAAUUACCCUAAGCCAAACUAUCUUCCGCAUCAUGUGAUCUUUA